CGGACGGGUGAGUAAUGCUUGGGAAUCUAGCUUAUGGAGGGGGAUAACUACGGGAAACUGUAGCUAAUACCGCGUAAUAUCGAAAGAUUAAAGUGUGGGACCUUCGGGCCACAUGCCAUAAGAUGAGCCCAAGUGGGAUUAGGUAGUUGGUGAGGUAAAGGCUCACCAAGCCGACGAUCUCUAGCUGGUCUGAGAGGAUGACCAGCCACACUGGGACUGGGACACGGCCCAG
rnacentral:rRNA from 1 species